UGGAUUCUACGGACGGCCUUCGGAUGGAUAGGCACUUUCGUCCGGAAAGAAAUGGCUCUGGUUAAUACCUGGGGUCGAUGACGGUACCGGAAGAAUAAGGACCGGCUAACUACGUGCCAGCAGCCGCGGUAAUACGUAGGGUCCAAGCGUUAAUCGGAAUUACUGGGCGUAAAGCGUGCGCAGGCGGUUGUGCAAGACCGAUGUGAAAUCCCCGAGCUUAACUUGGGAAUUGCAUUGGUGACUGCACGGCUAGAGUGUGUCAGAGGGGGGUAGAAUUCCACGUGUAGCAGUGAAAUGCGUAGAGAUGUGGAGGAAUACCGAUGGCGAAGGCAGCCCCCUGGGAUAACACUGACGCUCAUGCACGAAAGCGUGGGGAGCAAACAGGAUUAGAUACCCUGGUAGUCCACGCCCUAAACGAUGUCAACUAGUUGUUGGGGAUUCAUUUCCUUAGUAACGUAGCUAACGCGUGAAGUUGACCGCCUGGGGAGUACGGUCGCAAGAUUAAAACUCAAA
rnacentral:rRNA from 1 species